rnacentral:rRNA from 1 species
AACGCUAGCUACAGGCUUAACACAUGCAAGUCGAGGGGUAACGAGAGGGGAGCUUGCUUUCCUUGUCGACGACCGGCGAAUGGGUGAGUAACGCGUAUCCAACCUGCCCUUCAGUAAGGGAUAGCCUUUCGAAAGAAAGAAUAAUACCUUAUGCAAUCGUCCGAUGACAUCAGACGACGAUUAAAGAUUUAUCGCUGAAGGAUGGGGAUGCGUCCCAUUAGGCAGUAGGCGGGGUAACGGCCCACCUAACCUACGAUGGGUAGGGGUUCUGAGAGGAAGGUCCCCCACAUUGGAACUGAGACACGGUCCAAACUCCUACGGGAGGCUGCAGUGAGGAAUAUUGGUCAAUGGCCGUAAGGCUGAACCAGCCAAGUAGCGUGCAGGAUGACGGCCCUAUGGGUUGUAAACUGCUUUUAAACGGGGAUAAAGUGAGCCACGUGUGGUUUAUUGCAGGUACCGUUUGAAUAAGGACCGGCUAAUUCCGUGCCAGCAGCCGCGGUAAUACGGAAGGUCCAGGCGUUAUCCGGAUUUAUUGGGUUUAAAGGGNAGCGUAGGCGGAGCGUCAAGCCAGCAGUGAAAUGUANCGGCCCAACCGCUGCACUGCUGUUGGAACUGGCGCCCCUUGAGUGCACACGAGGCAUGCGGAAUUUGUGGUGUAGCGGUGAAAUGCUUAAAUANCACGAAGAACUCCGAUUG